UACAACAUACAAUCAACCUGCUCAGUUAUAAAUACAUGUAACACUUUGCAUUUAAAAAAUUAGUAGUAAUAACCACAUGUCUGAAUAUUAACUUUUAUUAAAUUGUAUCGGAACAACAAUAAUAAACAGUUAACUCAACAUAACCAACAUCAACAUAACAUGUCAUAUAAGAAAUAUUAAAACAUAAACAAAGACACGUCGUUCCUA
rnacentral:lncRNA from 1 species